AUGGCUGCUGCCGCCACGAGGAGGGCCGCCUCCUCGCUCGCCUCCCGCUGCCUGCUCUCCAGGCCCGCAGCGUCGCCCGCUGCUGUCCCCUCCGCGCUCCGCAGGGCAGAUGGGGCACGUGGAUUGUUGCCAGGACUCCUUCAGAGGUUCGGCACUGCGGCAGCAGCAGAGGAGCCCAUUUCGCCUUCUGUCCAAGUGGGCGAGACACAGCUCCUUAUCAACGGCAAAUUCGUCGAUGCUGCAUCUGGUAAAACUUUCCCGACUGUGGACCCUCGCACCGGGGAGGUGAUUGCCCGUGUGGCCGAAGGAGAUGCCGAAGAUGUUGACCGUGCGGUUGUUGCUGCCCGCAAGGCAUUCGAUGAAGGGCCAUGGCCCAGGAUGACUGCCUAUGAGAGAUCCCGCAUUCUUCUGCGGUUUGCUGAUUUGAUAGAGAAACACAAUGACGAUAUCGCUGCACUGGAAACGUGGGACAACGGGAAGCCCUAUGAGCAAGCUGCCCACAUCGAAGUGCCGAUGCUUGCCCGGCUUAUGCGGUACUAUGCAGGCUGGACUGACAAGAUCCAUGGUCUCAUCGUACCGGCUGAUGGCCCGCACCAUGUACAGGUGCUUCACGAGCCGAUUGGUGUCGUGGGUCAGAUCAUCCCGUGGAACUUCCCACUUUUGAUGUAUGGCUGGAAAGUUGGCCCUGCUUUGGCAUGUGGAAACACUAUUGUCCUCAAGACUGCCGAACAAACUCCUCUAUCUGCUCUCUAUGUUUCUAAGCUGUUGCAUGAGGCUGGACUACCCGAAGGUGUCCUGAACAUCGUAUCUGGUUUCGGUCCUACUGCCGGGGCUGCUCUUGCUAGCCACAUGGAUGUUGACAAGAUUGCAUUCACUGGAUCAACCGAUACUGGAAAAGUUAUUCUUGAGUUAUCUGCACGGAGCAAUCUUAAGCCAGUGACACUGGAGCUAGGAGGCAAGUCUCCUUUUAUCGUCAUGGAUGAUGCAGAUAUCGACCAAGCCGUUGAGCUUGCGCAUUUUGCGCUGUUUUUUAACCAGGGACAAUGCUGCUGCGCUGGGUCUCGCACGUUCGUACAUGAGCGUGUUUAUGAUGAGUUUGUUGAGAAGUCCAAGGCUCGCGCUUUGAAGCGUGUAGUUGGUGAUCCAUUCAGGAAGGGUGUUGAGCAGGGUCCUCAGAUUGAUGAUGAGCAAUUCAAGAAGAUCUUGCGCUACAUCAAGUCGGGUGUGGACAGUGGAGCCACCCUUGUGACGGGUGGUGACAAGUUGGGUGACAAAGGUUACUACAUCCAGCCAACAAUUUUCUCAGAUGUGCAGGAUGGCAUGAAAAUUGCCCAAGAGGAGAUAUUUGGGCCUGUUCAGUCAAUCUUCAAGUUCAAUGACCUCAACGAGGUGAUCAAGAGGGCGAACGCAAGCCAGUACGGAUUGGCUGCCGGUGUUUUCACCAACAACCUGGACACGGCCAACACCUUGACGCGUGCCCUCAGGGCCGGCACGGUCUGGGUGAAUUGCUUUGACAUCUUCGACGCGGCGAUCCCCUUCGGCGGGUACAAGAUGAGCGGCAUCGGUAGGGAGAAGGGCAUCGACAGCCUGAAGAACUACCUGCAAGUCAAGGCGGUCGUCACCGCGCUUAAGAACCCCGCGUGGUUGUGA
rnacentral:rRNA from 1 species